UCGGUGCUUUCAGGCGAGGAGUGUGGCGGCGAGGAUUUCCGAGAGAAGGGGAAUUCUAACUUUGAUCCUUGCCGUAUGGUGAGGAUCGCUGCUACUUGCAGGAGGACGGGGAAAAUUCAAACAAACCCAAACAAUUAAAAAAAAUUUGAACCUGCGCCUUUGCCAGCGCUCGGACUUGUUUGGAAAGAGACAACGCUGAAGUGGCACUGGUCCCGAGGAAAACGGAUCCUUUAAUUUGACUCCGCAUGAGAACCACAUUUGGAGCUGGGCGCAGCGGCCGGAGCGGCGGGAUCAGACCCGCAGCCAGAAGCUCCCUGUGUCCGCAGCCCCGCCGCCAGCCCACCUCCGCAGCCGCCGCUGCAGCCCCGCCGGGCUCGGCGCCCCCCGUACCCCGGCGCUGAAGUAGCCCCUCGGGGACGGGGUAGAACAUCUUUCCGCUGCGAAACCAGCCGCCGCCCGCAGAGAGCUGGCCGAGAGGGAAACGUCUGAAGGAAUUGCGAGCUUGUGUUUUCGAAGCACUCCAGUCAUCAGCUCCCCCCGCACCAGCUUUGACUUUCGUUUAGCUGGGGGCUGCCUUGCCGGCUCGUCGUCUCCUCGGCAUCUCAGGCUCUGGGACCAGAUUAUUUUGCACUUCGUUAAACGAGCAGUUCGGUCUUCCUUCUCCUUUCUCUCUUUUUAUUUUCUUUUCUUUUUUUUUUUUUUUUUUUUUUUUUAAGAGACAAAUUGUC